AGUACAACAGCCGCAUUACUAGUGCUUUUAUGUUUUGCCUUGAUAUAGACGUCACCACUGCGAGAGCUACAGAAAACACAAGUGCGAGCUGAAUUAAGCAGUGCGACACGACACACCACUCUCCGAAACGUAAGUAUAAAUAGAAUGCUUGCGACGAGCAAGUUUGUUCGCGCUGAGUUCGAAGUUCCGGAGAGCGAAUUCACAGCGAAAAACAAAAUGUGGUGCUCCUUGAUGUGCGGCGUGGUUAUGCUGUUGCUAGACAUUCAUGUGCGUCUGACGGCGGCUUACGAAAACUCGCACCAGUUUCCCGUGGAACUUCCGGACUUUGGAACUGUCGACGAAAAGCCAAGGCCAACGCAUCAGAAAAAAGUUGGCGAUCCUUGUUUGAACAGCGACGAAUGCCGGAAAAAAUUGUGCUGUGUGCGUCGCAAUGGUGGAAGAUCAUGUCGGCGGCGGGCGAAGUACUGCAAACGGUGCAGGGAAGAUCAAAUGAAGGGAGGGUACUACCAGGAAUAUUGCCCUUGUCUGGAAGGUCAAGGCGAAUGCCACAUGGUCCCCAAGAAAAACUAUGGGAGGUGCUAUUAAUAGCUCUCGCUGAUGUGAUCAUUAUCUCCCAGCAUAUGUUUCUACGUCGAUUCAUCACGCCAUUAGCCACGACUCAGGUGAAAUAAAAGAACUGCUUGUA